rnacentral:lncRNA from 1 species
AGGUGGCCGGCGGAAUCACGCAGGUAGGCGGCGGCGGAAUCGCGCAGGUGGUCGGCGGUUGGUCCUGGCGACGCGCGGUGGAAUCGGGGACCAGCUCGCCUCCGGUGGGCGGCGGAAUCAAUGGGCAGCUGUUCUCGGGUGGGCGGCGCGGGUGUUCGUGGGUGUCUGCGAUCGCCGGAAUCGCCAGCACGGCGGCGGAAUCCGACCGCGCCGGCCCCUGGCGACGGGAGGACGGGCGGAGGGAGGAGAAGGAGACUGGUACCUACUUCAGACAGUUUUCAAAUUUCGAGGGUUGUUUUGCAAAAAGAACAUUACACUGCGCUCUGGACAACUUUUCCCGGACGGAGGGAGUACCUUUGGCAAUUGCUCUGUCCAGCCUAUUAAUCACCGAUAAAGGUUUUGAUGCAAUCUACGGAAUAAGCUCACAUUGUUGAUUGCAGGAUCAGAAGAUGCUUUACACAUAAUUGUGUGAUGCUCAGAGACAUUUUGCACAACGGAAACUUCUUGUGAAGCUUGAUCUUAUUCAGGUGCCUAACUGACUACGGCUUACUAGGUGUUUGUGCUUACCAGUAUGCCAGAAACUUCUUGGAAGCUCGCCGUUUCAGGUGCCUAACUGACUGCCGCUUUCUAUGUUCAUGCUUAUUUGCAGCCAGAUAGUGAUUUUGGGCUGAAAGAUUAUUGCAAGCUUAGAAUCUUUUAAAGGUCCUUAUUGACAUGACUUGUAUGAUAAACUUCCAAAAUAUUCAUUUAACGUUGCUAUUUUUCUUUUCAGAGCCAUAUGAAUUUUUUAUAGAAACAUGAGCAGAAUAAAAUGGAAACAGCUUCUGGUACAUCUGAGGUAUAAAAUCGGCAAUCUUCGUUGAAUGUUGAGCUUUUUCAUCUAUAACUGUGUUUUCUUUAAAGUUAACUACAGAAGCAUUGCUUUUAUUCACAGGUUUUGCUUUUCUUUCAUGUUUCCUAUCCAACAUAAAAUCUGUGUCACUGGUUGUAGUCAUCGCUUCUAAAGUCAACGCUGCCUUUUCUGUCACAGGUUUACUGGUUUUUCUAUUUUCAUUCCUAUGGCCUGUAUUUUUGUAGCGAGCUUCUUUUAUGCUUGGUUACCAAACUUAUCAAUUAGCAUGCCUAUUUCUCUGCAUUGUAUAGCCUUUAUUAUAUUAUAACUGUAAAGAAUGCAGUUUGAGGAUAAUCUGCCAAUUCUUCUGUAUUGGAUAUGAAAUAAUUAGGCAUUUCUAAAUUGUCUUGAAUUUCCCUGAACUGAAAAAUGGACUGAUCUACUUGCUGCCUGUGCUACUAAACAUAAAACUGAAAAACCUUUUACUGCCAUUUUGUUGGUACUUUCCAUAAUGAACUUGGUUUCUGUUCACACACAUGUACUGCUACAUUAUCCUAUACAUGUUGUCUGAAUUAUGUGAGAGGAUACUGCCAUUUUGUUGGUACUUUCCAUAUUGAAUUCAGUGUAGCAGACAUCAGCAAGUUUGAGAUGUAGCACUCUUCACUUUUGUCGCUGGUUUACAUCUGUCAAUCCUAGAAAUUGAUUAGUGCCUUCUGUUUUGACUCUAGAUUUGAAUAGUGCCCAGGUAGUGUUCAUUAGUAGGUUAAAAGGACGUUCAACUUAUUUAUUAAAUCAUGAUGUACAAAAGGUUUAGCUAAUUGGGACUCCAAGUCUGCAACCAAAGUAGAAAUAAGGCCAUGGAGCAAGAGUUCCGUUGGGCAUCCUUUGCAUUUCUCUUGUCAUGUUCCAUGCUUCACAACAUGUGGGUAAACAUAUCAGUACACACGCACACUGCAGUUUGUAAUGUCAUUUAAUAGGGGAUGCAUUAGGGUACUUUAUUUCCAUUAUAAACUAAUAAUAAUUAAGAGCUUAGUAAGGUAACAAUAAUCUACUCCCUCCGUUCUAAAUUACUUGUCGCAGAAAUGGAUGUAUCUAGAACUAAAAUACAUCUAGAUACAUCCAUUUCUGCGACGAGCAAUUCGGAACGGAGGAAGUAGGAUAUACAGUAGAAUAUUAGAUGUGCUUGUAUAAGUAGAAUGCAGAGUUUAGAAAUGAACUGAAAUCUUAGAGCAGGAAGUGGUAGGCUUAAUUUCAUUUAGAAAAAUAGGUGUACUGCAGCAUCAUAUAUUAAGGUAAUCCCUCAGCCAAAACAAAUUGGAGGGGAAGAUCGUCAAGUUAGCGACCCAGUUUUCAUUCUGUGGGCUUUCCUUUCUUCAAAGAAAGCUCCAGCCCGAGCAAGGGCAUAUCAGCUACAAUAUCGAUCAGUUGGUUGAUUAUGUCGCCCAUUUUGUAAAUUCAACUUAGCAAUAAAGCAUUGACAAGUGUGUUCACUUCUCUCCAUCCCAAACAAAAUAUCAUCAUCUGGUUCUUUAAUCUGUUUUUAAUCCUUAUAUCAGUCUGCGACGAUGGAACCAAUUUUUCACCCAAUCUGAACUGGUUGUUUUACCUCUUCUUUUUUACUCUCCAUAAAUGUACAGCUUUAUAAAAGUUGUUGUAUUGCUUGGGGCCAAUUUACUUAUAUUAUGCCCAACUUUAGCUCAUGAACUGCAUGGCGAAACCUAAUUCUGGUUGGUCUUCUGCCACUUGUUUUAUGGCUGUCUAGGCAACGGAUGGCAUUCUUCUUUGUUGCCAAUUGUGAAUUAUUUUGUAGAAGGCCUCUCAGCAGCUACCUAUGCUUUGCGAGGUUCUGACAGUAUGUAGCUAGCAUGUAUGGUUUUUACAUACUUCUGCAUAGGUUGAGAUGCAUCACAUGAUCUUCUCUUGAUUGAUGGGUAUUGGAGAGUCCUUUCUUUGCCACAAAGGGCAGGAGCUAUGCCAUUCAACUCAAAAGGACAAAGAGUUCAUCACAAGGGGGUGGUCUCUAGGAUAUUUACACAAAAGAGGAAAUUUCUUUUUGUAUAGAACCGAAUUAUACUAUCUAAUUGAGUAAAUUAUAUCAUGUAUUAAGUACAUUUUAUUGUGUCACCAAGUUUACUACUACUCAGACUUUCUAAUUGCAGGCUCAACUAUUUGGACCCACUGAUCUGAUUUUGUUUGGUUUGUGUAUGUGUAUACUGAUGUCUGGUGAAUCCCUAAAGAACCAAAUCUUCAUUCCUAUCUCGUAUAUGCUAUCUUAAAUGCAAAGUGUUAGCUACUCCAGUCUCAUGUUUGAAAAUGUGAUUGAUUAUAAAUUGCGCACACUUUUGUAUAUAUUUGCAAAGAAAAAAAUCCUUAUUAAUUUUUUAUUAAAAUGGUUUGCGUCGGUACCUUGAGUGGUUGCUCAUACUUAAAGUUACUAACAAAUACAAGUAUUUUCAAUGUGCUCAUGGUUUUAAAUGAUACUGACUCUACGCCUAAGUGGUUGCUAAAACCUAUUUUUACCGAGAAAGACAAACCUUUCCAAAAGACUUACUGUACAGAAUUUGAAAAACAAUUCUAUUUGAUUUUUUCAUACCAAGACAUGUUUUUUUUUAAAUUAGACUAUACAUUAAGUUAAGCCGUGUAUAUUCAUAUCAUUAUGAAAAACCAUUUCAUAGUGUUUCUUAUUAGAGGGGGAUUAAACCAUGGGAUUUUGUUUCAUUGUGAACAUGAUUUUAGUGUGUCUUUGCGCCAUUUGGCGCAACGGGUCCACUAGUAUAUAAUAAAGAGUAGUUUUGAGUUGAGAGCUUUGCUUUGUUGCUAUGAUCUUGAGGGAAUUAAAUAAGAGAAAGGAAUAAAAAGAAAUAAAAAGAUCAUAUAUUGAUCUUAUGGAGAGUAAUGACUUCACAUAUAAAGAAUAUGAUAAAUACAAGUUGUUGAGAGUUGACAAACAUAGUAUUGGUCAUUGUUGCAAUUAAUAUGAAGUAAUAAAGAAAGAGAGGCUUCACAUAUAAAUAUACUAUCUUGGAAGUCUUUUGUAAUUGUGAUCACUCAUUAAUAUAUGACAUGCUAAAAGGUUGAUGUUGGACAAAGAAGACAACACAAUGGGUUAUGUUUUCUUAUAUCCGAAUAGAAGUUAUAUUGUCUUGGAUCCUCCAACAUGUUGAACUUGCCUUUCCCUCUUAUGCUAGCCAAAUCCUUUGCACCAUGUAGAGAUACUACUUGUGCUUCCAAACAUCCCUUAAACCAGUUUUGCCAUGAGAGUCCAUCAUACCUACCUAUGGAUUGAGUAAGAUCCUUUAAGUAAGUUGUCAUCGGUGCAAGCAAUAAAAAAUGCUCUCUAAAUAUGUAUGAUCUAUUAGUGUGAAAAAAUAAGCUUUAUACGAACCGUGAUAUGGAAGAAAUAAAAGAGAUAGACUGCAUAAUAAAGUUCUUUAUCACAAGCGGCAAUGUAAAGUUACGUUCUUUUGCAUUAAGAUUUUGCAUCCCACCAUAAAAGCGCAUGGCAACCUCUGCUUCCCUCUGUGAAGGGCCUAUCUUUUACUUUUAUCUUCUACCCUUAUACAAGAUUCAUGGUGAUCAUCACCUUUCCUUUUUAUACUUUUUCUCUUUGGCAAGCGCUAUGUGUUGGAGAAAGAUUUAUAUAGGUUAGCAUAAAGUAUUAUUGUUGACAUUACCCUUGAGGUAAAAGAUUAGGAGGCGAAACUAUAAACACCUAUCUUUCACUGUGUCCGAUUGAAGCUUUGAACAUAUAAGUACCGCGUGAGUGUUAGCAAAUUGUGAAAGACUAAAUGAUAGUUGAGUAUUUGGACUAGCUGAAAAGCUUUUGAAUUGACUUUUUCUCAUUUUAUGAUAAAUUGAAAUUGCCUCAAUAACUGAGAUCAUAGUUUGUUAGUUUUCAAUGAAGUUUCCGAUUCAUACUUUACCUUGUGAACGAAUUGUUACUUUGGCAUAAGAAAUUAUAUGACAUUAUAUGUUGCUGUUCUAAAAAGAUGAUCAUGAUGUUCUCAUGUUCGUAUUUUAUUUUAUCGACACCUCUAUCUCUAAACAUGUGGACAUAUUUUUUGAUUUCGGCCUUCGCUUGAGGACAAGCGAGGUCUAAGCUUGGGAGAGUUGAUACGUCCAUUUUGCAUCAUGCUUUUAUAUUGACUAGUAAAUGCGCACGUGCAAUGCACGUUAAUAUUUAGGCAAUAUAUUAAUUGCACGCAGAUAUUAGGUAUGAUAUUAUUUGUGUGUUAAUUCUGUGAUUACUGCAAUAGUUAGUAUGAUAUUAAUCACACGUUAAAUAUGUUGAACGCUCGCCAUUGGAGCAGUCUAGGUCGUUGGAUUGACUUAGUUUGAUGGCCAAGAUCAAUUGGAUCUGCCCCUUUGGGUCUUUCUAUAUUGGUAUAGAUAUAGAUAUUAAUUGCACACAGAUAUUAGGUAUGAUAUCAUUUGUGUGUUAAUUCUGUCAUUAGUGCAAUAGUUGGUAUGAUAUUAAUUGCACGUUAAACAUGUUGAACGCUCGCCAUUGGAGCAGUCUAGGUCGUUGGAUUGACUUAGUUUCACGGCCGAGAUUAAUUGGAUCUGCCCCUUUGGGUCUUUUUAUAUUGGUAUAGAUAUUUAUUGCAUUAUGGGCUGUUAUUACACAUUAUGACACAAUACUUAUGCUUUUUCUCUCUUAUUUUACAAGGUUUACACAAAGGGGGAGAAUGCCCGCAGCUGGAAUUCUGGACCGGAAAGGAGCAAAUCUGAGAGACCUAUUCUGCACAACUCCAAAAGUCCUGAAACUUCACGAAGAAUUGUUUUGGAAUAAAAAAUAUUGGGCGAAGAAAGCACCCGAGGGAACCCACCAGUCAACUAUAAGGAUGGGGGCGCGCCCUACCCCCUGGGCGUGCCCCCUGCCUUGCCGGCAGCCUAGCAGGCCCCCCGUGCCCAUCUUUUGCUAUACGAAGGGUUUUUACCUUGAAAAAAAUUAAAAGAAAGCUUUCAGGAUGAAGUGUCGCUGUCUCGAGGUGGGACUUGGGCAGAACCAAUCUAGGGCCCCGGCGGAGCUAUUCUGCAGGGGAAACUUCCAUCCCGAAGGGAGAAAUCGAAGCCAUCGUCAUCACCAACAAUCCUCUCGUCAAGAGGGGGUCAAUCUCAAUCAACAUCUUCACCAACACCAUCUCCUCUCAAACCCUAGUACAUCUCUUGUAUCCUAUCUUUGUCUCAAUACCUCAGAUUGGUACCUGUGGGGUGCUAGUAGUGUUGAUUACUCUUUGUAGUUGAUGUUAGUUGGUUUAUUCGGUGAAAGAUCAUAUGUUCAGAUCCUUAAUGAUAAUUAAUACUCCUUUGAUUAUGAACAUGAAUAUGCUUUUUGAGUAGUUACGUUUGUUCCUGAGGACAUGGGAGAAGUCUUGUUAUAAUUAAUCAUGUGAAUUUGGUAUUCGUUUGAUAUUUUGAUGAGAUGUAUGUUGUCUUUCCUCUAGUGUGGUGUUAUGUGAAUGCCGACUACAUGACACUUCACCAUUGUUUGGGCCUAGGGGAAGGCACUGUGAUGUAGUAAGUAGAUGAUGGGUUGCUAGAGUGAUAAAAGCUUAAACCCUAGUUUAUGCGUUGCUUCGUAAGGGGCUGAUUUGUAUCCAUAUGUUUCAUGCUAUGGUCAGGUUUAUCUUAAUUCUUCUUUCUUAGUUGCAGAUGCUUGCGAGAGGGGUUAAUCAUAAUGGGAGGCUUGUCCAAGGAUGGGAAGCAUCCAAGCACUGGUCCACCCACAUAUCAAAUUAUAAAAGUAACGAACGCAAAUCAUAUGAGCAUGAUGAAAACUAGCUUGACAACAAUUCCCAUGUGUCCUCGGGAGCGCUUUGCUUUAUAUACGAGUUCAUCCAGGCUUGUCCUUUGCUACAAAAAGGAUUGGGCCACCUUGCUGCACCUUAGUUACUUUUGUUACUUGCUUUCCCUUACGAAUGAUCUUAUCACACAACUAUCUGUUACCGACAAUUUUAAUGCUUGCAGAGAAUACCUUGCUGAAAACCGCUUGUCAUUUCCUUCUGCUUCUCAUUGGGUUCGACUCUCUUACUUAUCAAAAGGACUACGAUAGAUCCCCUAUAAUUGUGGGUCAUCAAUAUGCUGGGUGGUUGGCUUAGUUGGGUUUUUAGGACUUUAUUUUUCCAGGACAAGGCUUAGUUGGUUUGACAGACAAAGCGAGAGAAAGAUGUGAGAUGUGUGAAUGUGUAGUGGACGUACUAUUGGAGUGCCUAAGGUAAAUUGUGUAUGUAUACCUAUGUGGUUAUUUACUUCGUGUAACGCCCUCGAUGCAGCUAUAUCUCCUACGUGUCGAAGCACGACUUAGAGGCAUAACCGCAUUGAAAGCAAUAUUGCAAGUAAGGUAAUCUUCACAACAACCCAUGUAAAUAGAAUAUAAGGGGAAAAUUACAUAGUUGGCUUACACUCGCCACGUCACACAAAGUACAUAAAUAGCAUUACAUCAUCCAAUCACUCAUGGUCCGACUACGGUACCAAAAUAAAAGAUCAACCCAACAUGCGACACGGUCUCGAUCGCCCCAACUGGGCACCACUACUGAUCAUCAGGGAAAGACACAUAGUAACGGCGUGAGUCUUCGUCGAACUCCCACUUGAGCUCAAGCGCAUCAUCUGGAACGGAGUCAUCGGGCCCCGCAUCUGGUUUGGAAGUAAUCUGUGAGCCACGGGGACUUAGCAAUCUCGCACCCUCGCGAUCAAGACUAUUUAAGCUUAUAGGUAAGGCAAGGUAAUAUGUGGAGCUGCAGCAAGCGACUAACAUAUAUGGUGGCUAACCUGUUCGCAAAAGAGAGUGAGAAGAGAGGGCAAAGCGCGAACGAAGAACUAGAGAACAACCUACGGCAAGCAUUACUCCAACACCGUGUUCGCUUCCCGGACUCCGCCGAGAAGAGACCAUCACGGUAACACACACAGUUGAUUCAUUUUAAUUAAGUUAAGGUUCAAGUUAUCUACAACCGGACAUUAACAAAUUCCCAUCUGCCCAUAACCGCGGGCACGACUUUCGAAAGUUCAAAUCCCUGCAGGGGAGUCCCAACUUAGCCCAUGACAAGCUCUCACGGUCAAUGAAGGAUAAACCUUCUCCCGAGACAUUCCGAUCAGACUCGGUAUCCCGGUUCUACAGGACAACUUCGACAAGUUAAAACAAACCCAGCAACACCGCCCGAAUGUGCCAACAAAUCCCGAUAGGAGCUGCACAUAUCUCGUUCUCAGGGCACACUCAGAUGAACACUACGUACAACUAAAACCAAACCUCGAGUUUCCCUGAGGUGGCGCUGCAAGUGGCUCUGUUUGGACCAACACUCAGAGGAGCACUUGCCCGGGGGGGUUUAAAUAAGAUGACCCUCGGGCUCCGGAAACCCAAGGGAAAAAGAGGCUAGGUGGCAAAUGGUAAAACCAAGGUUGGGCAUUGCUGGAAGAGUUUUAUUCAAGGCGAACUAUCAAGGGGUUCCCAUUAUCACCCAACCGCGUAAGGAACGCAAAAUCCGGGAACAUAACACCGAUAUGACGGAAACUAGGGCGGCAAGAGUGGAACAAAACACUAGGCAAAAGGCCGAGCCUUCCACCCUUUACCAAGUAUAUAGAUGCAUUAAUAUAACAAGAUAAUAUAGUGAUAUCCCAACAAGAAAAUAAUGUUCCAACAAGGAACGAUCUCCAAUCUUCACCUGCAACUAGCAACGCUAUAAGAGGGACUGAGCAAAGCGGUAACAUAGCCAAUCAACAGUUUGCUAGGACAUGGUGGGUUAGAGGUCUGACAUGGCAAUUUGGGAGGCAUGAUAGGCAAAUGGUAGGCAUCAUAGCAUAGGCAUAGCAAAAGAGCAAGCAUCUAGCAAAGCAAAGAUAGAAGUGAUUUCGAGGGUAUGAUCAUCUUGCCUACAAAGUUGUCAGAGUUGAUUGGAUCCUCGAAAGCAAACUCAACGGGCUCCUUAUUAGAGAACUCAUCUCUCGGCUCUACCCAAACAAGACAAACAAGAAAAAGGAACACAAUCAACCACGUGCAAAUGCUCGAACAACAUGAUACAAACAUGGUAUGCUAUGCGGGAUGCGGUAUGUGAUGCAUAUGCAAGAUUUGACAAGGAAUGAAAGAACCUGGCCUCAACUUGGAAAUCCAAGAGUUCCACUGGAAAGGUGAGGUGAUUUCGCUUGAAAUCGAUAUAAAUAACACCGGAAUCGGAUGCACGGUUAGGAAAUGGCAAGCAAAACAAAUAUGGCACCGGUCUGCGAUAAACAGCAAGUAUCCAUCUAAAUGCAUCAAGAUAAAUAUGCUACAACACUCAAACAUGGCAACAAAAUACAUGUCAGGGAUCCACUCAUAAUGCUUAACAAAAGAUGAACACUGAGCUACGGCCAAUUCAUCCAUUAACAGGUUCAAACAAGCAUGGCAAAAGUGCAAUUGGUAAACAGGUUUCAGACUUAGUGAAAUUAACACAAGCCUGGAAUUUCAGAUCAGGUAGCACACUUUGGAGCAAGAAAACUAUAUGCUAUAGGAACCUAACAUGGCAAAAUAAGGCAUGGCAUGGAGCUACUCAAAGAGCUUAACAAAAGUCCCUUAGUUACCUUGAGCCAAAAGGGAUCAGAAAAUACAAAUGCAAGCAUGUGAACAUGGCAAAAUCAUAAUCAGAUCUCAGACUUAGAGAAAAACUGGAGCAUGCAAAUCUGUUAACGAGUAGGAAUGUUUACGGGCUCAAUGCACUCACUACAGAGUAAGGCAUGACAUUCUAAGCACACACCCAUCAAGAAUACACAUUAUAUAAGCUAUGCAUGGAAAGAACAACAACAUAGCACACACGGAUCAACAACAACAUCCUCGGCAAAAUCGCUAACAAGUAGACAAUCUGCCCAGAUUCACGAAAUAGCAAAAGUAGAGCUCGAUUGACUCAAGCUAGGGUGCUCCAUAAAUGCAAACAAAGACAUGGAUGGAUAGAGCACCACAAUAUUAACAAAUCACCCUUACUGAUCAUCCUCAAAAGAGGCACGGAUCACUAGGAAACAACAUGAACAUAUGGCAUAUUGAUAAAAACAGAUCAAGGACUUAGUGGAAUUGCCAAGUCCCUGAAAUCAACAUUAACGAAUGCACCACUUUGCAAGCUUGUGCUAGUCACCACACAUAUCACAAAAAUACAUGGUAGGCACCUCUGGAAAGAUGGCAAAGCAUAUAACAAAACACAUGUAGAGCUCAGGAGCAUAUCAUGCACACAUUAAUCAUGGCAAAAAUGACAAAUAGCUAUUUGAUGCAGCAGAUCUGACAAUUAACUCAAAUAGCACUUUUUCAACAGCAUUUCGGGCAUCAAGAUGAGCUCAAAUGAAAAUGAAGCAAUGAGAUGAAAUGAUGUACUCUUUGAGACGAACAUUUUGAUAUGCUACACGCUCCAAAACGGAGCUACGAAUGCGGAGUUACGAUGCGUCAAAAUUUGCCAAAAUACUGAGAAACUGGGGACUUAGAGAAAAAUAUACCCUCCGGAUCUAGGGUUAAUGUAGCGUGGAUCUCAGAUCUGGGCGCACGCCAUUCGAG